UAUGAAGGGGUGAGCGGAGCUGGCUCAACUGCCUUACAGGGCAUGGCUCCCGGAACGCGCAUUGAGUUCCUUUCGCAGGCUGAUGGAGUCGUGGAUCUCUCCCAAAUGCGGCCUCAGGUCCAGGCGCUGAAGCUGGGAGAGCGCCGCCCUGUGUUCAUGUUGAGGUUUCUAAACUUAAAAUGGGUCCUGGCUGGAAUUGUCCCUAGUGCUUGUGUUGUGCUGCUUACCCUGGCUCUUGACAGGCGCUGCACGUGGGUUCCAGGGACACAGAAGGUGCAACUUGAGGUGUAUAUUCCUUGGACCCUUCUAGUAGACUUAGGGAAGGGGAGGAAGCGCUUACUAAAUACUUUUAAUUGAUAAGUGACAGAUAGUCUUUACUUAACCUGACUGGCCGGGCUCCUCUGCCUUCCUCAACUAGGACUCAUCCUUGGUCUAUAAAGACUUGAACAAACAGUAACAUAGAUUAACAUCAAGUUCACAUCCCUUGGCCUUCCCUAGUGGCUCAGGGGUGAAGAAUCUGCUUGCCAGUGCAGGAGACACGGGUUCCAUCCCUAGGUCGGGAAGAUACCCUGGAGAAGGAAAGGACAACCCUCUGCAAUAUUAUUGCCUAGAAAAUCCAUGGACAGCGGAGUCUGGCGGGCUACAGUCCAUGGGGUCGCAAAAGAGUGGAUGGAACGCGACUUAGCAGCUGAACAGCAACCACCACGUCCCUUCUGUGACCCCAGCCCCACUUGAACUGCCUACCUGAGAAAGCUCAAGGCUACCAAAAGAAUUCAGCAUUUGUCCCCGUCAACAUCCAAAGACAAGAUCUCUAUCCCCAGCGUCUCUAAGAAGGGAGGAGGUUAACUUUCAUAAAUUCUGGUUAGCAGUCUCAGGUCAGUUCUCCAGUUCUCCGUCCCAUUCUUUUUUAUUUUUCACUCCCUAACUCUACUGAGUCACCACGCAUACACACCCCUAUUUUCUCUUGAAACUGCCCAGUCACUUCUGUACAAAUCCAGGGUGAUCUAUCCUGGAGAAUGUUCCAUGUACACUUGAGAAGAAUGUAUAUUCUGCUGAUUUGGGAUGGGAUGAAGUAUGAAAUCUAUGAGGAUGAAAUGACCUUCUUUUACAACUGAGAUUAAAGACAGGAAGUGAAAUCAUUUUCUGAAUGAGAAAUAUUGCCUAUUCAGUAAGUGAUUUCCAUGAAGGAAAAACUUUGGCAAACUGGCUGCUUGCUACUUGCUUGAUAUUUAGAGAUGAGGUCAUGUGAGCACCCUGAGUAAUUUUCCC